UACAGAGGUCUCAAGCGUUGUUCGGAUUCAUUGGGCGUAAAGGUGCGUAGGCGGCGCGGUAAGUCGGGUGUGAAAUCUCGGAGCUUAACUCCGAAACUGCAUUCGAUACUGCCGUGCUUGAGGACUGGAGAGGAGACUGGAAUUUACGGUGUAGCGGUGAAAUGCGUAGAUAUCGUAAGGAAGACCAGUGGCGAAGGCGGGUCUCUGGACAGUUCCUGACGCUGAGGCACGAAGGCCAGGGGAGCAAACGGG
rnacentral:rRNA from 1 species